rnacentral:lncRNA from 1 species
AAGAAGGCAAGAGAUGUCAUAGAGAGGCGAUGGUGGUGCAUCCCUCUGCGCUUGUUGCUGAGAGUGUUCCCACCAUCGCGAUCCUGCCACACCUCUUAUGAAAGGACACCAGAAAUGGCGAUGCAAGAAGCGAGAGGCGUCGGAAGAUGCGGUGGGGGUGCAUGCCUCCGCGUGUGCCGCUGGAGGGUGCACUGCCACCGCGUCCUUGCCAUGGCUCUCAACAAGGUGCUCCAAGAGCAAAGAGAACGGAAAGCUAAGUACUUUGUUUUGAGUCCUUGGUUCUUCCUUUAGUAACACUGGUUUGCCGAGGUAAGCUCAGUCCCCGUGUAGCCGGAGUGUAGGAAGGACACUUGCGGGGGGAGGACGCCCCCCACACAUGGCUCGCGGGUCUGUCCCGGAGGCAUGCACGUUGGGGUAUUUAACCUGCGGGCGGAGUGGCUAGCCGCUGUUGUUUGGCCCUAGGUCGGCACCGCGGGUCCGUCCCGGGUCCCUAGUCUGGCUAAGCACGUAGUUGGUGAGCCCCCGGAUACACAAGGUUAAAGCACGGGAAGGACAGAGCCUAUCCCCGACAAGCUGGUCAUAAGCGGAAAAGCAAAUAAAAUGGCAUUGGAUAAAAUAAAAUUUGAACAAAUGAGUUCACAAAUAGCAUUCGAAAUGAAAAAAAAAGGCUAACACAAAGAAGUUCUAAGGCGCCUUGCGCCACUUGCAGGAAAGUAAAAACAAAAAACGAGCAGAUAACUAUGCAGGAGGUGCUCCCGGGGCAGCUACGUCGGCGUCAGGUGCCCCCUCAACGCCGGGGGCUUCUCUUGCGGCCUCCUCAUCGACAGCUUCAGCUUCAUCGACCUUGCCCUGCAUCCGCGCCACCAUCUCGUCCACCACGCCCUGCACCGCUUCCCGGUGGGUCUUGACCUCUUCCUCGUCUAACCAGGCGUCG